ACAACUAGGACGUUGGCUCAGAAGCAGCCAUCAUUCAAAGAGUGCGUAAUAGCUCACUAGUCGAGUGACGCCGCGCCGAAAAUUUACCGGGGCUAAGCAUGAUACCGAAACUGUGGAUGUGCGUUUAUGCACGUGGUAGGAGAGCGUUCUAGCGGCGGUGAAGCAUGACCGAGAGGACAUGUGGAGCUUCUAGAAGUGAGAAUGCCGGUAUGAGUAACGAAAGACAGGUGAGAAUCCUGUCCGCCGCAAGACUAAGGUUUCCUGGGGCAGGCUCGUCCGCCCAGGGUAAGUCGGGACCUAAGGCGAGGCCGAGAGGCGUAGUCGAUGGACAACAGGUUGAAAUUCCUGUACUGCACCGAAUCGUUAUGAGCGAUGGAGGGACGCAGGAGGCUAGCAGCGCGUGGUGCUGGAUACCACGUUCAAGCGUCAAGUCUGAGAGCGAGUCAAAUGCUUGCUCUCAUAAGGACAAGGCGUGAUGAGGAGCGAAAUUAAAGUAGCGAAGGCUGCGACGUCACACUGCCGAGAAAAGCUUCUAGCCAGAGACGGUGCACCCGUACCGCAAACCGACACAGGUAGUCGAGGAGAGUAUCCUCAGGUGAGCGAGAGAACUCUCGUUAAGGAACUCGGCAAAAUGGCCCCGUAACUUCGGGAGAAGGGGCGCUGGUCGCAAGAUCAGCCGCAGUGAAAAGGCCCAAGCAACUGUUUAUCAAAAACACAGGCAUCUGCAAAAUCGUAAGAUGAAGUAUAGGUGCUGACACCUGCCCGGUGCUGGAAGGUUAAGAGGAGAGCUUAGCGCAAGCGAAGGUUUGAAUUGAAGCCCCAGUAAACGGCGGCCGUAACUAUAACGGUCCUAAGGUAGCGAAAUUCCUUGUCGGGUAAGUUCCGACCUGCACGAAAGGUGUAAUGAUUUGGGCACUGUCUCAACGAGAGACUCGGUGAAAUUAUAAUACCCGUGAAGAUGCGGGUUACCCGCGACAGGACGGAAAGACCCCAUGGAGCUUUACUGCAGUUUAAUAUUGGGUAUCU
rnacentral:rRNA from 1 species